GUAAGUUUUAUUCUGAGGCCCAGCUCAGAUGAGUGUGGGAAGAGGAGGGGAAGAUGCAAUUCUAGCAGCUUCUGGUUUUAUGGGGGCUGAAACACUCUGACUCUUGGAAAAAAGCAGAAAUAAGAACUUCUUGGUGAAAAAAAAAAACCGAAAAACUCUUGUCUGUGUUUCAAGAUUAAGAGGAACACAAAAUUUAUAGGCAAAGAGAAGCAGAAAGAGUAGAAAUUUUACAGGACUCUAGGCUCUGUGACAUGACCUUAAAAGCUCAGUAGGACUUAGAGUGGUACACUGGCCCAAACACUGUCUUUGAACUUGUAAGACUAAAAACAACUACAGUGUACACGUAGGGAGCAUUCUCUAAGUACCAGACAAUCAAUGCUCUCCGCAACUCUGAGGUAGGUCCUGUUAAUAUCCCCCUAUUUUCGGAUGAGGAAACCAAGGCUCGGAGAACUGAAAUAAACGGCUCAAAGUUGUAAGUGGCAGAGCUGGGGUAUGAAACCAGGCAGGCUGACUUCAGAACCCAUUCUCUAACGCACUACACUAUAUUGCCUCCACACUGAAUGAAUGAAUGGGUAGAUGAAGCAUUUUGCUCACGUAACAAAGUCUUCCUUAGGCAUGGAAUGGCAAUGAGGCAUGGCUGAAGGCUUGCCGGAUAUUUGUCAUCCUUGGGUUAGACAACCAUACUAUGAACCAAACCAGCUGCCAUCAAGUCGAUCCCAACUCCUGGUGACCCCAUGUGUGUCAGAGUAGAACUGUGCUCCAUAGGGUUUUCAAUGGCUAAUUUUUUAGAAGUAGAUCACCAGGUCUUUCUUGUGAGGCACUUCUGUGGGUGGACCUGAACCUCCAACCUUUCAGUUAGCAGCUGCGUGCAUUAACUGUUUACAUCACCCAGGGACUUCUGAUUAAUUACUACGUUAUCAGGCGCUGUUUUGGUGUUAGACAUACAGCGAGGAAAGAGACAGACACAGUUCACCCUCAAGGAGUUUAUAGUUCAGGGGAAAUACGGGCACUAAUAUACUCAUUAUGAGGGGAUGGGUGUUCUGAAAAGGAAAUUAUGGCAUGCCACGGGAGCAUAUAAAAAAAGGCCCUAAUCUACAGGUAAGUAUUAUUAUUCUCCCUGCGUGAAGAACCUGGGGCACAAAAUGGUUAAGUAAUUUGCCCCAUGUUCCCUCUCCCCAUUUUGCACGACCUCCUCUGGGGGUGGAAAAGCUGGCAGGUUGAAAAGCAGAAGUGACGAAGUUUCUUUAUUGAAGGAAGCUUGGUUCUACGCGAUUCACUCUAAAUUCCGGGGCAGAGAAAUGCAGCUCCAGGGGCCUCUGCCAAUGAAGACACCGCACGGCUUCCGUUGCGAUGGCAGUCAGCGAGACAUGUCAGCUCUCUAAGCAUUUCAUUAUUCACAGCUUUGCAAGGGGUUCACAGGAAGCACCUGGCUAUUCCACCAUUUUGGCCCUGCCUUCAAGUUUUGAAGUAAUAAAUCAUCACAGCUCAAGUAUUUAUGAAUGCCCCAAAGAAAUUGCCAGCUGAGCUAGAAGGAAGCAGGAUCUCUGUCAUCAAGGAGUUUACAACUGGCUGCGAAGAGACAGAGGUAGUAUUAAUCCUAAAAAAGGAACCCCUGUCUACUUGGGUGUUUCAGUGAUGGGAACACAGUCUUUGAAUCAGUCUACCAAGGAUCUCAUGCAUCUACACUCUCGAACAAGGCAUUCAAGAUAACUUGCACAAUACAUUACAAGCGUGUGUUGUAGUGUCCUUGAUGCACUGUAUGAACAUUUCAUGUAACUGUCGAGGACCUCUCUUCUGGCUUAUGAGCUGAGGCUGGAAUUACACAAUAUCUCCUCUUGUGUAUUAUCAUAUUGGUUUGGAGGUAUGGUAUUUGUGUUAUCUUGGUUUUGCUGACCCUGGGAUUACUUUUUUCUGAAUAAUUCCUCUUUUUCAGAAAUGGGCUCUUUGAAGGACAAAGCAAAUCUAGAUUAUUUCUUUUCUGUACCCAAGAAUGAGGAUGAUUCUGAGGAGAAGUAUGAUGAAGAUGCCUCAGAGGAGCUUACCUGUAUUCUGGAAUCUGAAGCUCAUUUUGUUUGGAACAACAGGAUACUGACAGGAGAUUAGGGCAUGAUGAAGUGUUGAUGUUGCAGAAGAAAGGGUGCACCAGAUGACGAUGCCUGUGAUGAAAGUGGAAAAAAAAAAAAAAAAAGGUGAAACUCAAAAGCCGUGUAUAAGGAGAACCUGGCUGUGACGAUCUUCACAAAUUGCACCUGAUUAUCAGUACUCUCAAUAGCUGCCCAAAAGAAGCAUAUGUGGCAUCAAGUGACGUGGCAGUCAAUGAACACAUGAUGCUAUUCAAGGGCCAUUCGUCAAUAAAACGAUAUGUGCCAAUGAAGCCCAUCAAGCGUGGGUACAAAGUUUGGUGCUUGCCUGACUCAUGCACUGACUUUGUAAGUCACUUCGAUAUCUAUUCUGGAAAGAAAGGCAUAGACCAUGACUCCUCUUUCUCCCUUGGUGAGAGUGUUGUACUUGGACUAUGUCAUUCAUGCAACCAUUCUCAUAAGCUCAUUGCCUUUGACAGUUUCUUUUCUUCCUAUCGCCAGAUGAACAGUGUGAAUGAAAGGGGACUUGUAGGCACAGUAUGAGCAAGUAGAAAGUGGCUACCAGAGAUGAUGAAGACUAAAGAUAAAUUACAAUGGGGAGAAUUUCUGCUUUGUAUGAAAUAAUGUAUGUCAGCAGUAAAGUGACCAGACAAUAAACCUGUGACAGUUCUAUCCACAGGCGGUCCAAGGGACAUCACUAGUGGAACAAAAACAGUUCCUCCUCAUUAAUCCCUUGCCUGAGAGCAGUCACAGAAUAGAACACCUGAAGGGAGCUGUACUGCUUUGUGGGCCACUUUGACCAGAGACAUGAGAGGUACACAAUCGGCAGGCACUCUCUCAAAUGAUGGCAUCGAUUGCUGUAUUUCCUUAUUGACUCUGGUUUGUAAACAGUUUUACAAUGUGGAACUGUAAAUAUCAGGGCAGAUGUGACCAAAUUUACUUUAGCUUCACUCUCAUUAGACAGCUUACUGGAGGCUGGAAGACCCUCCUGUCUUGUGAGGAACAAGCCAAGAGUAAGCAGGGUGCCAAAUGGCAUAUGGCCCUGGCAAGUUGGGAAGCAUUUACCUGUCAAGGGAUUUAGAAGGCAAUGCAUAGAAUGCAGUACUAAAAAGGAGCCUCGAACCACAACUAUGUGCAGCCAUUGAAAGGUGCCUUUACGCAUUACCUCGUGUUUUUAAAGGUUUCACUCAAUAAAAUAAAAUUGCUAAGAUAAAACAAUUUUUUCUAUGCCUCAACCCACUUAUCCUAGCACCAGUGUUUAGUAGGACAUACGUGUCCCACAUAAUAUUUAUCAAAACCUGUCUUGCCUAACAAAAAUUUAAUAAGACUCAAAGAUUUAGCAUGUAUUCCAUUACUGAAAAAACAUAUCGUAAAAAACUUAGUAACAAAAAAUAAUUUGGCCAUGAAAGGGCUAACUGCAGGAAGCCCUGAGAGAUAAUUCAUAAAGGCAUCGAAAGUCUGCCCGGGUUGGUGGUUGCAAGUGAGGAUGUGGUGGAACAUCUAGAAACUUUGGACUUAGCAUCAGAGCCUCUGGGUUUGAACCCUAAUUCUGCCAGAUACAGUUGGGUGGAUAUCUGUGUUUUAUUUGCAUAAUGGAACGAACACUAUCUACCUCUGAGGAUUUCUGUGAAUACUAAAUUCCGGUGUAUAUGUGAAAAGAACCAGUGUCAGAACCAACCCUAUGGUAGGUGAUCAAUAAAUGUUAGUCCUAUCUGGACCACAAACCUGAGAUUUUAACUUUGGCUUUUCAAAACUGUGAAGCCACACAAUAAUGACACUGGUUUGGAAAACUGGGGAACCUUCGUUCUUUUCUUUGUGCACCUGCACAGGAGUGACAGUUCUUAACUCAGCAGAGCCAACGCUCAGAAUUUGGUCCCUCAAAUCUCACAUGUUCAUUGAUCACGUGGAUAAAGAAAAGGAAUCAGCCUGUGUUUCUUGGCAAAAGUGAACAUGAACAGUGAGUUCUGUAUCUGUAAAUUAAUAUGCAGAGAUUUACAUAGAAGAGAAUGAUGUCUAUGUGUUUCAAGUUAAAGGAAAAUAAAGCAGACCUUUAGUUGCCCUGUUGAUGCUGUUGGGAAGGGGAAAGAAUAUUGAUACAUGAUGAAGAAUAUUAAAGACCAUUCUAGGUAGAUGGUGACAAAGCAGCAGAGCCAAAGGAGGAAAAACGUGAGAGGAUCUUGUUUCUGCACUUCUGCUGAGUUACUAUGUCCUGAAAAAUCGUGUGUAAAUGGAAUCAAUAAGGUGAAAGAACCUCUUUGUAUUUAAAGGAAAACUUUGGAGGAGCUAUAUAUAAAACAAAUAUUCUCCUUUUAGUUGGCAAUUUGUGAAAAAGGAAUUUUUGAAAUUUAAAUGUGUUUUAAGCAGGUGACUCCUCUGUAUGCAUACAGAGAAGAAUAAUUAUUUCUGUACUUAUGAACCACAGAAGGUACGCACCAGCAUUUUUGGAACAAACCACCAUGACAUACUAUAGCUUACACAGAAAAGACUAAUAUGAAUCAUGGAAAUUGAGGCAAAACUAGCAGUUCUUUGACAAAUGCAGUACAUUUAUGACUCUAAAUUACUAUAAAGCUAAGUUUUGAAAAUGUUAAUUUGACCAACAGUUACAAUAAUUUAAGAAACAAAAGUUAGACUCUAUUAGGAGGGUUAAUAGACUCAAGAUGUCUCUGAAAAGAAGACAGAGGAUGGUUUAGCCACUUUUCUUCACUGAUAUAAACAGGGUUACCAGGAACCUGCCAUUCACUCUGAAUCUUCACAGAACAAGGUGAGAAGAACUGGGUAUAAACUGUAUUGUGGGAAUUUGCUUAGAUAUAAACAGCUCUGCUCCCCUAGUUGGUGUUUGAACAUUGAAACAUGUGAGAAAGAGAGUUUGCAAAGAGCUCCCCUGAAAAACCCAAAUGAGCAAGGCAGGCACUUAUAAAUGGAUGCUUCUGGUCUUGACACAAACUUGUUUGAAUAAGAAUCUGGGGCUAUCUGACUGUGAAAGCUCCUUCUGACCCUAACACUCACUGGUCACAUCUAUGUGUGACAAAACACUCCAUGAAGAGUGAAGAACCCAAAAGGCAUGAGUAUGUUUGGUCUAUAACCAUCUCUGGAGAGCUGAAGGGAAAACUCUGAGAUCUGCAGCAUUUUCCUCUCUCUUUGUGCUCUUCUUCCUCCCAUGUAGUCAUAUCUCCUUGGGUUGCACCACUCCCUGUCGUGUAUGGGCAUUAUUCCUUGGGUCUAUGCACUCCUUACACUUCUUGAGACAUAGCCAGUAAGCAAGACUGCAGGAGAUACUUAAACAAAUGAGUGAAUGUAUGAAUGAAUGGGUACACUCUCUCAUAGAGGCUUGCCUUCUCUAAAUAGUGUCUCAGGUCCUAGAUCCAUCUUUUUACCCUUUUAUUCAUCAAAACAGAAACCCUGGUGACAUAAUGGUUAAGUGAUACAGCUGCUAACCAAAAGGUCAGCAGUUCAACUCCACCAGCUGCUCCUUGGAAACUCUAUGGGGCAGGUCUACUCUAUCCUUUAGGGUCAAUGGCAACAGGUUUGGUUUGAUUUUGGUAUUCAUCAAAGCGUACUAACUGUCUUUAUCCUCUCCCUUCCUCCCUUGCACAGAUACUUUGUGUUCCCAGCAGUGGAAAACAAUAUAAGGAACAAUUGUGCCAGGAUAUGUGACCUCUCAGGUGCCAUUUCCAUUUUAACAAGAGGUUUCUGGAUAUGCAAACCAGUUAAGUCAAAACAACAAACCUCUAAUGACUGAAGAGGAGUCAUUUAGGGCUCCCCAAAAUAAACCACCUAGGGAUUGUUCAGUCAGUGCAUUGGGGUAGCUCUUUCUAGAACACUGAAGGUCUAAAAAAAAUCCCUAAUUAGAAUCAUGAAGACUGUGGUAGCUAUCUAGUGCUCCUAUCACAGAAAGACCACAAGUGGAUGGCUUUUAACGAACAGAAGUUUAGUCUGCAGUUUAGGAGAAGUCUGAAUUCAGGGGGUCAGCUCUAGGGAAGGCUUUCUCUCUCUGUUGGCUCUGGAGGAAGGUCCUUGUCAUUAACCUUCCCCUGGUCUAGGAGCUUCUCAAGUGCCGUAACCCUGGGUCCAAAGGAUGUACUCCGGUCCCCGCUCUGCUCUCUUGGUAGUAGGAGGUCUCCCUGUCUCUCUGCUAGCUUCUCUCUUUUAUAUCUCAAAAGAGAUUGACUCAAGAUACAACCUAAUCUUGUAGAUUGAGCCCUGCCUCAUUAACAUAACUGCUUCUAAUCCUACCUCAUUAACAUCAUAGAGGCAGGAUUUACAACACACAGGAAAAUCGUAUUAGAUGACAAAAUGGACAAUCACACAAUAGUGAGGAUCAUGGCCUAGCCAAGUUGACACACAUUUUUUGGACACAAUUCAACCCAUGGGAAAGACCAAUCAAGGCUAAUCAAUUCAUUGAAUAUUUGCUAUUUAAACUCCCACCUUUAUAAAAUGUAAAACAAAACAAAACAAAAAACCUAUGAGUUGGAAUUGACGGCAACAGGUUUGGUUUUUUACAAAACGUGGGGACUGAAUGAAGCCUUUGGUUACAGGGUUUCACCACGCAUUCAGCAAAUAUUGUGCCCCUGCUGCCUGACAGGUACUUCUCUAGGCUCUCAGGAUACGUUAGGGAACAAAACAGACAGUAAGGUAAAUGCCACAACUUGGAUGAACUUUGAAAACAUACUGAGCAAAAUAAGUCAGCUGCAAAAGGACAAAUACUGUAUUAUCGCAGUUACACGGACUAAGUAAAUUUAUAGAAACCAAAGACUACUAGUAGUUACCAGAAGUGGGGGAACCUUGGUGGCACAGUGGUUAAGUGCUAUGGCUGCUAACCAAGGGUAGGCAGUUCAAACCCGCCAGGCGCUCCUUGGAAGCUCUGUGGGGCAGUUCCACUCUGUCCUAUAAGGUCGCUAUGAGUCGGAAAUGACUUGAUGGCACUGGGUUGUUUUUGGCUACCAGGGGUAGGAGGGAGAGGGAAACAGGGUUUUUGCUUAGGGGGCAUUGAGUUUAUGUUAAUAGUGGUGAAAUGAUCUAGAAAAGGAUAGUGAAAAUGGCUGCAUAACUUGAAGAAUGCAAUCAAAGUCACUGAAUUAUACAUGUAAAAGUUGUUGAAUUGUUGUAUGUUUUGUUGUGUGUAUUUUCAACAAACAGACAAUUAGUUCUGCCCUUAAGGAGCUUAUAUUCUAACUGGGUGAGCCAGACAAUAUAUAAUAUGCUAAUAAAUUAACUUAUUAAUGUAUUAACUAACUAUAUGGCAGAAAAGAAGCAUAACAGAGCAGGGUGAGGAAGCUUGAGUGUGCAGAGGGGUGGUGAGGGUGUGGGUGGCAGGCUGUGGUAUUAACAGGGUGGCCAAGUUAGGUUUUAUUGAAGAGGUAGGUUGAGGGAGUUGGUCAAUAGAUGUCUGUGGAAAGAAGACAGUAGCCAAACCACACCCUCAAAAAUAGCCCAGGAAAUAGGGCACCUUGCAAUAUCUAGUCAUCCUUCACUUCCCCUACAAUUGAUUAAAAUCCUCAAAUAAAUUGAACCUCCUUCCAUAUGUUUUUAAACUAAAUCUUUCUUUGAAGAGCUCUCUUCUAGUAAAACAGCUACAGAUUAUAGAACACCUUUACAGAUAUAGGUAGUAUAUUUGCAAAAAGAAAACAAGUAACCAUGAAAAUGACUGACCAAAAAACAGGGCUCUGGAAUCUGAGGAACUCUUUCUGAGGGAAGGAAAGACACUGUAUCAGCCAGGGUGCUCCAGAGGAAGAGAACCGGUAGGCAAUAGACAGAGAGUCAAACAGACAUUGUUGUUGAGUGCUGUUGAGUCGAUUCCGACUUUAUUUUUUCUUGGUUGUAAUCUUUCUGAGGAAACCCUGGUGGCCUAGUGGUUAAGUGCUAUGGCUGCAAACCAAAGGGUCGGCAGUUCAAAUCCCGCAGGCGCUCCUUGGAAACUCUAGAGGGCAGUUCUACUCUGUCCUAUAGGGUAGCUAUGAGUCGGAAUUGACUCGACGGCACUGGGUUUGGUUUUGGUUGGUUUUAAUCUUUAUGGAGGCAGAUUGCCAGGUCUUUCUGCCGCAGAGCAACUGGUGGCUUCGAACCACCAACCUUUUGGUUAUAGCCCAGCACUUAGCCAUUUGUGCCAUCAAGGAUAGACAGACAUCGAUAGAUUUAUUUCAAGGAAUUGGAGUACACAAUUUUGGGAGCUGGCAAGCGCAAAAUCUGAAUGACAGGCCAGAAACUUGAGCAACUGCUGACGCUGCAAUCUUGAGGCAGAAUUUCCUCUUUCUUAGGUAAACCUGCUUUGCUCUUGUCAUGUGCCAUCGAAUCAAUUCUGGCUCAUAGCAACUCUGUAGCACAGAGUAGAACUGCCCCAUAGCGUAUCCUAGUUUGUAAUCUUUACAGGAGCAGAUUGCUAGGCCUUUCCUCCUGCAGCGACACUGGGUGGGUUCGAACUGCUGACCUUUUGGUUAGCAGCCGUAGUUCUUAACCAUGUAUUUAUAGUACAUGUAUUAUUGUAACCCAUUGCCACUGAGUAGAUUCUGACUCACAGUGACCCUAUAUAACAGAGUAGAACUGCCCCCAUAGGGUUUCCUAGGCUGUAAAUCUUUACAGAAGCUGACUACCACACCUUUCUCCCAUGGAGCGGCUGGUGAGUUUGAACCACUGACCUUUUGGUUAGCAGCCACCAGGGCACCUUUGUACUAUUGUAGUGAUAUAUUAUUAUGUAUUUUAUAAAACAUACACAAAAACAAAAAUUAAAUAUAGUAAUUUCAUCCUGCACCCCAAUGGAUCAUCUUUAUCCCUGGAGUGAAUGCCCCCAACUUGGAAAACCACUGAAUUUAGCCAUGAAAGUGCUAUAGGGAAGUUUUCAGCUAAAGGCAGCCUCUCUUUCUCAGUCCCCAUUCUGCUUCAGCUCUGGAUUGCUGCCUGCCCCAUCUAACACAGAACCGUGGGCACCCUAAGCCUACAGUGGGAGGGAUAUAAAUGUCACAGUACCAGCCAGCUUUUGCCAAGUUCAGACUAUGCCAAGUCUUUUGCAGAAUCUUUAGUAAUUUUCAUUGCUCUCCAUCCCUACCAACAGCAAUAUGAAAAUCGCUCCUCUCAGAAGCAGUGCACAAGGCAGUCUCUCUCCUAGGCAGGCUUUCCUCCCAGUCUUCUGCAGAUCCCUGGCAGUUCGCUUUUUAAUAAUAUUUUAUUGUGUUUUCGGUGAAAGUUUACAUUGUAAAUUAGGUUUCCAUUUGACAAUUUUUAUACGUUUUGUUCAGUGACAACAGUUUCAUUUUUCACAAUGAGUCAGCAUUUUCUUUCAUUGCAGUCUCUUUGUUCCAUUUCCAGUACUCUAGUUUCCCUUCCCCCUUAUCUUUCUUUUAGAAUAAUUGCUGACCUUUAAUGGCGUAUAGAUUUUUUUUUUUUAAUAGAGCACCAUACUGAUAGGUGAUAUCCUUUAUUUUGUGUGCCACUCUGUUAUUUUGCUAAAAGGUGAUUUCAGGGGAUAGUUUCAGUUCAAGGUUUAAAGAGUAUCUCAAGGUGAUAAUCUCAGGGAGUCCUCCGGUCUCAAUUGGUCCAAUAAGUCUGAACUUAUUAAGAAAUUGAGUUCUGUUCCAUGUUUUUCUUCAUUCUAUCAGGAUUCAUCUCUAUGGCCCUUAUUAGUACGGUCAGUAUUGGUAGCCAGGUACCAUCUAGCUCUUCUGGUCUCGAGGUAGAUCAGGCUGUGGCUCGUGUAGGCUGUUAGACCUGUAGACUAGUUUCUUCUCUGAGACUUUAGUUUCCCUCUUUCUCCUUUGCUUCUGACAAGUGGAGACCAAUAGUUGUAUCUUGGAUGGCUGCUCACAAGCUUUUAAGACCCCAGCCACUACUCAUCUCACUAGGAUGCAGAACAUAAACUUUGUGAUGCCAAUUGACUGCACUGUCUCGUGAGACUAAGGCCCUAAGCUUUCAAACCCAGAAAAGCUAUCUCCUAAGAUGUUUGGUUAUGUCUGGGGGUAUCUGUAAUUGUGUCCUCUGUGAAUAAAUGUGCCUGCACACUCAUACCUUUAUUUACACACAUAUAUAGUUUCUUCUAUCUAUGCACUUGUAUGUAUACACGUGAACCUACCCUUAAACCUGUAUGCCUAUACACAUACAUAGGUUACCAUACGUAUGUUUUUUUUUGGUCAUUGUUGGUGUCGUUGCCAAAUUAUAUACAUCAAAUUCUUUAGUACAAACAUCCUUUUCUCUUGAGUGCUUCUCAGUGACAUCAUUUACUUCGGUCAAGCUGUGCUAACUCCACCCACACUGGGUGCUACUCUUCCCAUCUCCAUAAGUAACAAGUAUCUGUGAUCUAAGGCAUGAUUCCCCUUCCUGCCCUCCUCCUGGUAACCGCCAAUGAACAUUGGUCUCUAUAUAUAUUUAUCUAUUCUUGUCUUCUUAUAAAAGUGGAAUCAUACAAUAUUUGUCCUUAUGUGAUUGGCUUACUUCACUUGGCAUUAUGUCCUCCAGGUCCAACCAUGUUAUAAUAUGUUUCACAGAUUCAUUACUGGCAGUUACACCUCCAGGUCCAUGUGGUUGGUUGGUUUCCACCAUGGAUUCCUCACAUUGAACUUACUCUCUUUUCUCAUGGAAAUUCUGUGUGUGUGUUUCAGUCCACGUGCACCCACCCACAUCUAUGCAUGCUGUUCAAGAAAAACUGCUUUUAAGGCUGAGCUGACACCAAGAGAAGGAAAUAAAUGAUCAUGUGUUCAUUAUCGACAGUACAGAUGGACAACCUAGAUAAUUUAACCAUCCUCUCACCCCAUUUCUUUUUAUGAUGGAAUUAUUGAGGGCCUCCUUUGCAAGAGAACAUAUACACACCAAGUCACUGACAAGGUGUCACAUCACUGAUCACAAGAAAGUGUCAUGGUUAGUCAUUUAUUUUGUCCAUUUUAAUGCUUUGGAUGGCUAGAUAGUGAAUCUGAUCACCUGAGCCAAAACCAUCUGAUCACAUGACCAAAGACCACAUAGUUGAAUUGUUGUAGAUGGUUUCAUUUCCAGGUAAAGCAAUUAGAGCCCCUCUAUGGCUCUGCAGGAGAGAGGCCUAGCAAUCUGCUCCCAUAAAGAUUAAAAAAAAAAAAAAAGAUUAGAGCCUAGAAAAUCCUACGGGGCCGUUCUACUCUGUCAUAUGAGGUUGUUACGAGUUGAAAUCAACUCAAAGGUACCUAACAACAACAAUAUGGAUGCCCUUAAAGAGAAAGAACAAUCUGCAAUCAUAAAUUAUGGUCUUGUUUACACUUCAGUAUGGAGGAUAAUCAUAUGUCGACUUCAGCAAGUCCUUACGUUACUACCAGGUGUCAGUGAAUCGAGUUUUAUCUUAACUCUUACUACCUGCUAUGAAAUUUAGAAUAAUGAAAAUCAGUUAUGCUCUUGAAACAUUGUCAUUUUUAACAAUAAACACCUGUUUUCUAUUCUAAUAAAAUAUUAAUUUUGAAAAUUUAAAUGCUAAUAGAAUUUUAGCUCAAAAAAUCUGAGUUUUUUCUUUGACUAAAGCCAUUAGCUGGUUUUCACCUUUUGCCAGAUACGAAUUCAAUCAGAGCAUCUUUCAAGGAAAAAUAAAGGAGGAAAUUUUAAAAAUUUAAAUAAGUUAAAAAAUUAGACUUGACUCACUAUAUUGGCACAUGAAGGUAUUCUGGAUGGUUCAGUGUCUUGGCAUAUUUAUAAAUGUAUUAUGCACUAUUCAGUGCCAGUAGCUUAUGCGUGUUGAAAUCUAUAAUGUUCAAGUUGCAGAUUUAUGAGGUUAAAUUAUCAUACAUAAUCACACUGAUUAUCCUACUCACACACACAGAGAUAAGAUAUAUAAAAGUAUUUAUGUAUCUGUUUCCAUUUCCCUUAGAAAACUAAGAAAAUGUUAGAAGGAUACAAAUUGUUCAAUAGAACUUUCAUGCUUAAACAGAAUUAAGGCACCAUCUUUUCCAAUCCAAUAGUUUUAUGGCUGGGGAACCUGAUCCUUGUUCCAAUGUCUCACAGCUACCCAAUAGCAAAGACAAGACUAGAAGAGAUAACACCCAGUUCUUUCUGAUUUUUCCUAGUCUUUAAGCAAAAAUGGGCCCAACCGUGGCUUCCUUCAAGUGAAUAACAAAGGAGAAAAUAUUAAAGUUUAAUGAAGAUUUAUAAAAGUUACAAUUUCCUUUGUGUGGUCAAGUUUUUCAAUUGCUUCAUAUGCAUGAAAAGAUGGGCAACGAAUAAGAAAGACUGAAGAAUUGUGGCGCUGGCGAAGAGCACUGAAUAUAUUGAGGGAUGCCAAAAGGACAAACAAAUCUAUCUUGGAAGAAGUACACCCAGAAUACUCCUUAGGAACAAGGAUGGCAAGACUGUGUCUCACAUACUUUGGACAUGUUAUCAGGAGAGAUCGGUCCCUGGAAAAGGACAUCACGCUUGAUAGAUGAGAGGGUCAGCAAAAAAGAGGAAGACCCUCAAUGAGAUGGAUUGACACAGUGGCUGCAACCAUGGGCUCAAACAUAGCAACGAUUGUGAGGAUGGCACCAGGCGGUAUUGUUCUGCUGUGCACAGGGUCACUAAGAGUUGAAACCAACUCGACGGCACCUAACGACAACAACAUUCAAUUCACUAUUUGUGCAUAUUUUUAUCGAAAGCUAUACAGUAGCUUAUUACACUGAUAAUAAGGACACUUUUGUUAUGCUUAAAUUUAGAAUGCUAAUGACACGGAUGUCCUAACUGGUUGCACAAUUCCAAUCAUGUCCCCCCCACCUCGUGCCACCAGACUAUCUAAAUAUAUGAACUAUAUAAACUAUAAAUCUAACCAUGUCUUCCCCUGACUAAAGUUCUUCAGUGGCCUCCCUUCCAUUGACACAGGUCGAAGAAAAGCGACUUCAUUCAGCCCUGUCCACAUCUUCAGCCUCAUCUCUUACACUGCCUGUCUCAGUCUUUAUCCCUUUCAAGAGCCAGUUAUUUUUCUCCUUUGAAUUUUUUAAUGAUACUAUACAUUUUCACUAAUGGAAGCAUGCUGAUUAACCAAAACCCACCAAACCCGUUGCCAUCGAGUUGAUUCCGACUCAUAGCGACCCUAGAGGACAGAGUAGAACUGCCCCAUAGAGUUUCCAAGGAGCACCUGGUAGAUUCGAACUGCAGACCUUUUGGUUAGCAGUCAUAGCAUUUAACCGCUAUGCCACCAGGUUUUCCAUGCUGAUUAACCAAAAAAAACCAAACCCAUUGCCGUCGAAUCGAUUCCGACUCAUAGCGACCCUAUAAAGGACGUAGUAAGUUCUACUAAUAUGAGUCAAUAAUAAUUUUUUUUGUAACUUCUUGAAAGUUUGCAAAACAUAAGGUGAAACAUGAAGGCACCUGGCAAUAACUGCACAUACAUUUUAUUCUAGUCUCCUUCUUAUUUUUCAUGACACUUUUCAAAACAUGGUUCAAUGUAUUUUUCCUUACUGCAAAAGCGGUACUUACAGUCCAAAUAAGCAUAGCCAUGGAAUUUUUUAUCUCAGGAAAAUUACCACUACAAGGCAUUCUUCAUUUCUGCAAAAGCAGUACUGACAGGCCAAGUAAAUAAAACUAAAGGAUUUUGAAUCUCAGAAAAAUGACUACUACUAUGUAUUCUCCACUGUGACAGAAGUAGUUCCAACAACGAAGGAGCAGAAGCAGUCGCCCCGGAAUACUGCAGACCUGCUCACAGUGGCGCACCCCACCUGCUAUACGGGGAAGGAAUGACUGAGUCCGAAGAUUUAAUGUAGGGCAAGAAUAACCUACAGGUGUUCCGAUUUCUCAGAAAGGACCAGCGCAAUGCAUUAUUCUCAUUUCAAAGGCAUCGUUUACUGUUCAGAAGCUAGAAAAGCAGAAGCCAGUAUCACCUGAAAGCAACGAAUGGCGUCAAGGAGAAAAUGGUCACGAUGACUGACUGAAGACUGGCAACAGUUUGUUCUCACAUUAAGUGCAUUGUCACAAGAACCUAGUAACUAGGAAACAGAGUGAGCGGGCUUAUUUCACAGAAAUAAAACAAUCCCACCAAAAAGUUUAGAAAAUUCACAAAUCCAGGAGGUUUCACCUAAGGCAACACUUAAUCUACACAAAAAUGAGGCUCCAAGUUGUGGUUCUUGAAUUUCACGCAUCUCAAAGGCUCCCACCUUGAGGCUAAACAUGUUAAAGGCAAGCUACCUCCUUUCCAAAGAACUCCCUCCGGAGACAUAAAAAGUAGGGGGGCUACAGCUUGUCCCACAUGUUUUGAAGGGGUUUUACUCAGUAUCACUGAGCUGGUUGUGGCUUCCAGACAGCUCACACUGCUCAACUCCUCCAUGCAUUUGUUUCUGCUCACCUCUCUGCCUGAAACAUCCUACUCACCACCACCACAGCCCCAUCCCACUCUAUCUGGCACACCUUUCAUCCACCCUCAGCCUCAGUUCACCCUUGAGACUCAGCACUCAGAUGACAUCUUCUUCAGGAGAUUCUCCCUAACAUCUCCCCUGGACGCUGUUUACUAGACUAGGUAUCCUUCCUCCAUGGUUCUGUAUCUCUCUCUUCAUAACUAAUCACCACCUUUAGACACAGAGAUGAUUAUAAAGCAUUGUGUUAUAUGUCUGCCGCACCUAACUUACUCUGAGUUCCUUGAGGGAAGGGAGUAUUUGACAGCAAGCAUGCUAUAUGAUAACUGCUUGGUAAGACCUCAAUGAGAGUUAUUGGAAUAUAUAAUUAAAGGAGCUAAUACAUGUAAAGGGCAUAGAAUAGUGGUUGGCAUACAGAACAUAAACAGUGCACUCUUAGUUAUCUAGUGCUGCUAUAACGAUACCACAAGUGGGUGGUUUUAACAGGAAUUUACUUUCUCACAGUUGAGGAGGUUGGAAGUCCGAAUUCAGGGUGGCAGCUCUAGGGGAAGGCUUUCUCUCUCUGUCAGCUCUGGGGAAGGUCUUUGUCUCUUUAGCUCCUGUUUCCCGGUUCUUUGGAGAUCUCCAUGUGGCUUGGCAGCUAUCUUCCCCUACCUCUGCUUGCUUAACCUGCUCCUUUUGUAUCUUAUAAGAGAUUGACUCAAGACACAUCUUACACUGUUCCUUCCUCACUAACUUAACAAAGAAAACCCAUCCUCAAAUGGGAUUACAAAUGCAGACAUAAAGGUUAGGAUUUACAAUACAUAUUUGGGGGAGGGGGGGUUCAAUUCAAUCUAUAAUGAAGGCCCAAAAAGGAUCUGAAUGAGCUUUGGGUUCUGCUCCAGUCUGUGUUCCUCUUUGUGAACAUUGUGUUUCAAUAGGAGUUAGCAUGUAGGUAGAUGGAGAUGGCUUUGAAUUUGCCAGUGGGAUUGAGAAAUCCGAUUUAGACAGUGCCCAUGAAGAAUCUUCAUGUGUGAGCAUAUUGGCCCUGCAGGCAGUCUUAAGAGUGAACUGCAGCACGUGAGACUGUGCGGACAACUCCCGUCAGGAGGCAAGAUGAGAAGGCAGAGGGGGACAGGAGCUGGCCGAAUGGACAUGGAAAUAGAGGGUGGAGAGGAGGAGUGUGCUGUCUCAUCAGGGGAGAGCAACUAGGAGUACAUAGCAAUUUUCGUUUGAGAGUCUGACUUGAUUUAUAAACUUUCUCUUAAAGCACAAAAAAAGAAAAAAGCGAACUUCGGAAAAAUCAGCCUAACCAAUAGUUUCAUGCAAGCUCUUUCAGGAUACAAAGGAAAUGACAGACUCCUGAGGCUUUAAAGCAGACCUGCUUCCUACCUCUUUGGCAUUCAAUAGUCUAUGAGUCGGAAUCAACUCCGUCUCAAUGGGGUUUUUUCUGGUUUUAGUCUUCCAUUAGGUUGUGACAGAUUUUAUGCCUGAUGUAUCCACUAGAGGUCAAACUUUUAAAUACAGUAUAUCAACAGCAUUGCUGGCUGCAGGGGGGAAAAUAGCUCAUUUUUUUUCUUGACUGGAGUCAAAAUUGCUGUUCUCUGUGCGUGGAUUACAUCAUUAAUCAAUCAAACUCUUAUCACAAUUUGGGGAGUAGGAAUAAAUUAAACCUUUUAAAGAAUGUAGUUUUACCUCCUGUCCUAGGUCAUGGCUUUGCUCUUAGCAGUGAUGGGCGACGGUGACAUUGGCAAUUCAAAGAUGAGACCCAUCCGCAGGGUGGUGUACACAGGUCUCCACCUACAAGCAGCGGAUGGACCCAGUCCUUACUAGCACUGAUUUAACUUUUGUUUGUUUUAUCUGGUGCAUGCUAUAAAUUCAGACAUUUUCCACACCUCUCUUUGCUCCUGUCCCCCUCUUGUCAUCGUAGGAGUUUCACAAGCUCUGGAUUCCAUUCUAGGUUUCCAUUCCCACUCAAAGUAUGAUGUUGACAAAGUUAUUCACCCCAAGUGUCCAUAAGGGCAUUCAUGAGCCUCCACUUCCUGUUUAAGUUACACUAACUUAAUUCAUUUAGGAAAAACUAAAAUUAAUAUUUGUAUAAUUGUCUAUAGUUGACUAAGUAUUUUCACAAGCACUGUGCAAUUAGACCCUUGUAAUACUCCAGUUAGUUGGACAGGAACAGUAAUGUAACUACAUUUAUUUUUAUGGUGGGAGAAACUAAGGCUUAAAUGGUUAAGUGACUUGCUCAAGGUCACAAAGAUAGAACGUAGCAGGGCUGGAAUGAAAACUCUGUCUUUGGAAAGAUACCUGUGUUUUUACUCUCUGGAAGUCCACUUAACGUAGCAGACUGUAUCAGGUUUUUAGAGCCAUUAGGGUACCCUAAGAAAUAUGUUUUCACAUCUGUUUGUCUGCAUGAGUUGAGAGAUUCUCAAAGAGAAGUGUUCAUGAGGUGAAGCGGUGUAAUCCACAGCCUCUGGGAGGUGAAUGUCUACAAACCGGUAGAGAUCACUCAUUUUCUACUCGAGGGGUUUAGGUACUAAGCUUUUUAUUAGUGUAUUUCGUCACACUGAUAAUUAAAAAGUUGCUAUUUAUGUAAAAUGAAAAUCUAUCCUGAAGAACAUUUUUUGUUCUUUCAAACAAUUUUUCUCAGGUUUGCACUUUUGAUACAACAGCAAACUGAAGCAUCCAUCUUUGUUUUGGAGAGGGGAAAAUAUUCUCUCAUCUUCUAUUUCCUCUUUCUUUUCUCUCUUUUGUAUCUCAAACCUUUGCUGGCUAUAUUUCUCAUCUAAUUUCCAUAUGACUGCUAUAGCCUUCCUUGUGUCAUAUGUGGAUUGUAUCAUGCAUCAUAUUUUACCAGGUCUUUCUGAUGACAGACUUCUCCUCUGCAAGUCAUAACUGAAUUGCUUAAAAACAGCAAUAAUGAGAAAAACCUGGAAACAUCCAUAGAACAAAAAUAUACUUAUGUACAGAGAAACAAAUUUAAGAACAGUUAGACUUUUCAUCAGAAACAAUGCAAGAAAGAAGAAAGUAGAGCAAAUCUUCACAAUACCAAAACAAAAAUAGCACAAACGUUGGGAGGGGAGAAACAGAAGUGCAUCAUUGGAAGGUUCUUACACUUUAUGUGAAGUGUUAUAAUAUUAUUUGAAUGUAUACUGUGAUCAUUUAAGUAUGUAAACCUCAACCCUAAAGCAAAUAAGUAAAGUAAUAAUAACAAAUUUUAUGUCUAAUAAACUAAGAAAGGAGACAAAAUUGAACCUUAAAAAAUAAUAAUCAAUUUAAAGGAAGAUUAAAAAAAAAAAAGGACAAGAGAAAAAGGAACAAAGAACAAAUGAGACAAAUAGAAAACAAGUAAACCAAUGUUAUAUUUAAAUCCAGCUUUAUCAACAAUCACAUGAAAUGUAAAUGAGCUGGACACAAUGAUUUAGAGGCAGUGAUUGCCAGGCAGUGAGUGUCAGAUUUUUGCUUUUUAAAUAAAAAGCAAAAGGACAUAAAAACCCUAAACAUUUAGGCACCUAAUGACAGACAUCAAAAUAAAUGCAGUGCUUCAAAAAUCAAUAAAACUACAAUGAAAAAAUAGACAAAUCCACAAGUAUAGUUAGAAAUUUCAAUAAUACCCUUCUCUAAGUUAUUGAUAGAACAAGUCCAAACCCAAAACCCAAACCCACGGCUGUUGAGUCAAUUCCGAUUCAUGGCAACCCUACAGGACAGAGUGGAACUGCCCUAUAGAGUUUCCAAGGAGCGCCUGGCGGAUUCAAACUGCCGACCUCUUGGUUAGCUGCUGUAGCACUUAACCAUUAUGCCACCAGGGUUUCCGUAGAACAAGUAGGCAGCAAAAAAAAAAAAAAAAAGAAUGUCGAUUCUUCCAUACUGAUCUAUAGAUUUCAUAGGAUUCCAUUCAAUUCUCACCAGGCAUUUUUGCAGAAAAUUUAUAUAAAAGUUCAAACGACCUAGAAUAGUCAAUACAACGUUGGAAAAGACAGACACAGCUGGAAGGCUUACUCUAGCUCCUGGACCUUACAGAACUGCAAUAAUCAAGACAAUGCAGCAUCGAAGACAAGACAAACAGUCAAUGAAACAGUAGAGAGUCCAGAAACAAACCCAACCUUCCUACUGCAUACCAUCCAAAGAAAUGUGGCAAUGUGACUUCCUCAUUAAAAUGAAAUCAACCUGCUUUCUUUUUAAGUACGUUAUUAAAAGAUGCACACACACACACACAAUACCGCACAACAUACACAUAAACACACAUACGGAGUUUCCCAGGUCUGAUCACAACCACCUUUGUCAUUUCCUCAAACGUUGUCAAUUUGGACAUGAUACUUCUGCCACACUGUUCAUUAAACUAAUGAGCUGUGAUGGAUGUUAAUACAAAAAGGUUACCCUGUUUACUGUUUAAAUGGUUACACCAUUGUUGUUGUGGACUUAGAGAUCAAAUAGACCAAGCUUUGAGCUUGGGUUCUACCACAGCCUAAUAAUGUGACUCUGAGUAAAUUCUUAAGAAUGUUUUUAGUGGUAGAAUUCUUGCUGUCCACAUGGGAGCCCAGGAUCAAUUCCCAGCCAAUGCACCUCAAGGACAGUCACCGCACGUCUGUCAGCGAAGGCUUACGUGUUGCUAUGAUGUGGCACAGGCUUCAGCGGAGCUUCCAGGCUAAAAGGGACUAGAAGAAAGGCCUGAUGGCCUAUUUCUGAAAGUUGGUCAGUGAAAACCCUAUGCUUCGCAAUGGUCCAAAUCACUUCGUACGUGGGAUUAUCAUGAGAUGGGGGCCGAGUUGAAGGCAGCUAACAGCAGCAACAAAAAGAGUGUUUUACUACCUGUAAAACACAUAUAUGAUACUUUCUUGACCCAUUUCAAACCUUGAUGUAAGGAUUAAGUGAAAUCGUGUUUCUACGUGUGCCAGCAUCCAAACAGAAACACAUUACACUCAGUCAAUAUCUAACUGCUGCUCUUCUGACUGCCUUGGACCCAGGGACUCAAUCUCCCUCCAGUUUCUCUCUUUUCUUGUGUCUAAGAAUCUUCAAGUUCAGUUUGUUUCGUGGUGGGAUGAGUCAGCACAGCUCAGCACCUCACACAGAGAGCUCACCUCAUUGUCCUUAAGUCUGUCCACCCGUCUUCAAGUCUGAUGAGCAUUUCUAGGCAGCACUAGUCCUCCCACGUCGGCCUGAGGACACUCACAGCUAACAAACAAUGUGAGCCCCGGCUCAUGCAGAACUUUUGAAUAUUUUCUCAUUCCUAAGGCCCAACUCAAUUACUGGUGUCUCCCUAAAACAUUGGUUUCUUUAGAGUAAUUUAAUCUCCUCACAUUUUUUUCACGCUGUCUUCCCUGCCAUCAAUCAAUAAAUGAAAUAAAAUAUAAAUAACAAACAAAGCCUCCCUCCUGUAGCACCUAUCAUGUGCAUCUCACAGAACCCAAGCACAAAACUUCUAUUGCGAUAUUCUCUUGGAUUAGUCUCAUUUUUUAUGUUUAUGUUUUUCCCCAA